UCAUGCAGCUCCAGAGAAGCCUUGGGACACCAAGAGAAGCUAAAAGCUGAGCACCGUCACAGAGCAAAGGUCAGAGCCUGGCAGAAUUGGUGUGGGUGUUUUGGUGUCUGUCUGUAACCUGCCUGGAGAGCCAGGUUUUGGCAGAUGGCCACCAUGGAGGAUCUGGGCCGUAUUAUGCCUGUGGCCCUUGAUAGGCAGUCCAGCAAAACUUACAUAUGACUUUGCUGCCUGAAAUUCUUUCUGGAACAGGGCAAGGUAUAAAUAAAUAAAUAACAUGGUGAAAUCCCAUCUCUACAAAAAAAAAAAAAUACAAAACUUAGCCCAGUGUGGUGGCGGGCGUCUGUGAUCCCAGCUACUCAGGAGGCUGAGGCAGAGAAUUGCUUCAACUCGGGAGACGGAGGUUGCAGUGAGCCAAGAUUGUGCCACUGCACUCCAGCCUGGGCAGUAGAGUAGGUUUUUUGGCCUUGGGAAGGUCCUUCACCCGCUCUGAACCUCAGUAUCCCCACCUGUAAAACAAAAGAACUGGACAUGUCACUGUAGUUUUCAAACUAUGCUUGAUAGCAGUUCCUUAGCGAAGAGCUUCCCAGCUGGUGUGCCUUGGCAUGAUGACCUCAUUAGCCCUCCCAGACAAGGCCUGUGGUGGGUGAGCCCCCAGGAGCGGUUCCAUUCACAUUUCCUCUCCUUACCUUUGCCUUAAAAAUGGCAUAAUUCAUCCGGGUGUGGUGGCUCAUGCCUGUAAUCCCAGAACUUCGGGAGGCCGAAGCUAGUGGAUCACAAGGUCAGGAGUUCGAGACCAGCCUGGCCAACAUGGUGAAACCCCCCCAUCUCUACUAAAAAUACAAAAAUUAGCCGGGCAUGGUGGAGCACAUCUGUAAUCCCAGCUACUCCGGAGGCUGAGGCAGGAGAAUUCGCUUGAACCCGGGAGGCAGAGGUUGCGGUGCGCCGAGAUCGCGCCACUGCACUCCAGCCUAGGCGACAGAGGAAGACUCUAUCUGAAAAAGAAAAGAGAAAAAAAAAAGGCAUCAUUUUCUAGGUACCGUGACAGGGAAUAGGUUGGGAAGCAAUGACUUCAGGACAGGGGGAUGUUGAGUGAAUGGGGCUCAGCCCUGUAGCCAGUCAACAUACAGAGGCUUAAAGCAAAUUUCCAAAAGGCAUCCCUUUUCCUUCAAGAUACUACCACCCUCUAUUGGACAACUGCCCUGUUAAUAACUGUACAAAUCUAUGAGUGUUACAGCUCUUUUAGAAUUUGUCUAGCAGGUUUUCCAAUCUUCACUGAAAAGCUUUAAAAAAUAAAGUAAAAUUAUGAUGGAGGUCAUGGUACCUCCCAGAGUUGUGCAGCUCAUGUUUUGCACAACCAUUUAGGGGUUCUAAUGGAGCUCUGGGAUCCUCUCUGCCACAGCCUU
rnacentral:lncRNA from 1 species